rnacentral:lncRNA from 1 species
CUCAAAAGUAUGCAACCACUUAUAUCCACCACAUUCACUAUGUGCUACUUCUGUUUCCUGGAAGUACCACCCACAUCUACACACUACACUCCGUGAUGUUUCUAUCCUGGAGACACGCACCUAUGCUGCUCCUAUCCUAGGAGUACACAUUCCUUCACUCACCCACAUACAUUCCACAUCCACUUAGAAAAUAUUCUACUCCUACAC